GGCGAACGGGUGAGUAGCGCAUCGGAACGUGCCCAGUAGUGGGGGAUAGCUCGGCGAAAGCCGGAUUAAUACCGCAUACGACCCAUGGGUGAAAGCGGGGGACCGCAAGGCCUCGCGCUAUUGGAGCGGCCGAUGCCCGAUUAGCUAGUUGGUGAGGUAAAGGCUCACCAAGGCAACGAUCGGUAGCUGGUCUGAGAGGACGACCAGCCACACUGGGACUGAGACACGGCCCAGACUCCUACGGGAGGCAGCAGUGGGGAAUUUUGGACAAUGGGGGAAACCCUGAUCCAGCCAUGCCGCGUGCGGGAAGAAGGCCUUCGGGUUGUAAACCGCUUUUGGCAGGAACGAAACGGCGCGCGCUAAUACCGCGCGCUAAUGACGGUACCUGCAGAAUAAGCACCGGCUAACUACGUGCCAGCAGCCGCGGUAAUACGUAGGGUGCAAGCGUUAAUCGGAAUUACUGGGCGUAAAGCGUACGCAGGCGGCUGUGCAAGACAGGUGUGAAAUCCCCGGGCCCAACCUGGGAACUGCACUUGUGACUGCAUGGCUAGAGUCCGUAAGAGGGGGGUGGA
rnacentral:rRNA from 1 species